GGUUCAGUGGUCUAAUGGUUAUGAUUUCUGUCUCACAUUUGGAUUUGUGUGUUCACAGAAGGUUCCCGGUUCGAUCCCGGGCUGAACCA